rnacentral:rRNA from 1 species
GAUGAACGCUGGCGGCGUGCCUAAUACAUGCGAGUAGAACGCUGAAGGAGGAGCUUGCUCUUCUGGAUGAGUUGCGAACGGGUGAGUAACGCGUAGGUAACCUGCCUGGUAGCGGGGGAUAACUAUUGGAAACGAUAGCUAAUACCGCAUGACAACAGUUAUUGCAUGAUAACUGUUUAAAAGGGGCAACUGCUCCACUACCAGAUGGAGCUGCGUUGUAUUAGCUAGUUGGUGAGGUAACGGCUCACCAAGGCGACGAUACAUAGCCGACCUGAGAGGGGGAGCGGCCACACUGGGACUGAGACACGGCCCAGACUCCUACGGGAGGCAGCAGUAGGGAAUCUUCGGCAAUGGACGGAAGUCUGACCGAGCAACGCCGCGUGAGUGAAGAAGGGGUUCGGAUCGUAAAGCUCUGUUGUAAGAGAAGAACGAGUGUGAGGGUGGAAAGUUCACACUGUGACGGUAUCUUACCAGAAAGGGACGGCUAACUACGUG